rnacentral:tRNA from 1 species
AGUUAAUGAGCUUGAAAUAAGCAUAUGUUUUGAAAACAUAAGAUAGAAAUUUUAUUUUCUAUUUUCUU